GGAGGAAGCAUUUUCUCGCGGCCGAAACCGCGAGGCUGGGGAGGGGCGGGUCGAAGAGGACAGGGUGAAAGGACGGGGAAGGAGAGGGGUCCCUAAGGAAGGGCUGUGCCACCGAGGCCGCCGCCGCACGUGCAGUUCGUGGCCCCGCGGGGUCCGGAGGGGCGGGUGGCUCUAGCAGCCGCAGGUCCGCAGAGGAAAUCCGGCCUGGCCCCGAUUUCUCCCGCUGUUGGCGCCGCCGCACUUAGGGGAGGCAAACAGGAGAGGUGACGGCGGGGCUGAACACGGAAGGAAAUGACCCUUCACUGGCCCUGGAGCGGCCACAAAGGGGGUUCCCCCACACCGCAGCCAUCCCCUCUGGUGGGUCCACAGUCCCCUCUCUGGUUGUGCUGUAGUGUUCAGAGCCUCCUCCAGCGUCUCCUGGACCCUCAAGCAGCUGUGGAAAGGAACCUCAGAUCUAUGCUGACGGAGGGCCCUGCUGGUCAUCACUAAUAUUCCCCCCACCUGCCCCCAGCUCUAGUCCUCAUCUCAUCCAACCUCAGUUUCCCCAUCAGUAGAGUGAGAAAGAUAGUAGCUUCUUCUCAGAUCCUUGUCCAAGGGGCCAAAUGCCCGGGAAGUACCUCACAGCAGCCCUGCAGCAUUGGCAGAACAUGGCUGAGCUGGAAUCAGACAGUUCUCAGGCUCUCCCACCCAACCUGCUCCCCCCACAUCCAGCACCACUUCACUUUUCUCUGAGCUGCUGCCAAGCAGAAACUGCUGGGCUGGCACAGAGCUUUGGCUGGGGCUGGGGU
ensembl:lncRNA